rnacentral:rRNA from 1 species
AAAACUGAGUACCUAGAAUAUGGGAGAGGUAGAUGGAAUUUCUGGUGUAGGGGUAAAAUCCGUAGAGAUCAGAAGGAAUACCGAUUGCGAAGGCGAUCUACUGGAACAUUAUUGACGCUGAGACGCGAAAGCGUGGGGAGCAAACAGGAUUAGAUACCCAGGUAGUCCACGCCCUAAACGAUGUACAUUAGUUGUUGCUAUGCUAGACAUAGCAGUAAUGCAGUUAACACAUUAAAUGUACCGCCUGGGGAGUACGGUCGCAAGAUUAAAACUCAAAGGAAUAGACGGGGACCCGCACAAGCGGUGGAGCAUGUGGUUUAAUUCGACGAUACGCGAAGAACCUUACCUGGCCUUGACAUAGAAAGAAUUUAGCAGAGAUGUAAAAGUGCUUGUUUACUAGAGCUUUCAUACAGGUGCUGCACGGCUGUCGUCAGCUCGUGUCGUGAGAUGUUAGGUUAAGUCCUGCAACGAGCGCAACCCUCGUGUUUAGUUACUAACAGAUUAUGCUGAGGACUCUAGACAUACUGCCUGGGCAACCAGGAGGAAGGUGAGGACGACGUCAAGUCAUCAUGGCCCUUACGGCCAGGGCUACACACGUGCUACAAUGGGGUAUACAAAGAGCAGCGAUACCGCGAGGUGGAGCAAAUCUCAUAAAAUAUCUCCCAGUUCGGAUUACACUCUGCAACUCGAGUGUAUG